AUCGCUUCUCGGCCUUUUGGCUAAGAUCAAGUGUAGUAUCUGUUCUUAUCAGUUUAAUGCCUGAUACGUCCUCUUUCCGAGGACAAUAUAUUAAAUGGAUUUUUGGAGCAGGACGGUGGAAUAGGAGCUUGCUCCGUCCACUCUGCGCAUCGACACGGUAUUGCAGUACCUCCGGGAACGGUACACACACA
ensembl:snRNA U2 U2 spliceosomal RNA